AUUGAACGCUGGCGGCAUGCUUUACACAUGCAAGUCGAACGGCAACGAGGAGAAGCUUGCUUCUCUGUCGGCGAGUGGCGAACGGGUGAGUAUAGCAUCGGAACGGGCCAAGUAGUGGGGGAUAACCAAACGAAAGUUUGGCUAAUACCGCGUAAGCGCCAAGGAGGAAAGUAGGGGACCUAAAUAAGGCCUUACGCUAUUUGAGCGGCCGAUGUCGGAUUAGCUAGUUGGUGGGGUAAUGGCCCACCAAGGCAAUGAUCCGUAGCGGGUCUGAGAGGACGAUCCGCCACACUGGGACUGAGACACGGCCCAGACUCCUACGGGAGGCAGCAGUGGGGAAUUUUGGACAAUGGGGGAAACCCUGAUCCAGCCAUGCCGCGUGUAUGAAGAAGGCCUUAGGGUUGUAAAGUACUUUUGUUAGGGAAGAAAAGCUAGUUUUUAAUACAAAUUAGUGAUGACGGUACCUAAAGAAUAAGCACCGGCUAACUACGUG
rnacentral:rRNA from 1 species